AUUGAACGCUGGCGGCAUGCCUUACACAUGCAAGUCGAACGGCAGCGGACCUUCGGGUGCCGGCGAGUGGCGAACGGGUGAGUAAUAUAUCGGGAACGUACCUUUCAGUGGGGGAUAACGUAGCGAAAGUUACGCUAAUACCGCAUAUUCUGUGAGCAGGAAAGCAGGGGAGUCGCAAGACCUUGCGCUGAUUGAGCGGCCGAUAUCAGAUUAGCUAGUUGGUGAGGUAAAGGCUCACCAAGGACGACGAUCUGUAGCGGGUCGUGAGAGGAUGAUCCGCCACACUGGAACUGAGACACGGUCCAGACUCCUACGGGAGGCAGCAGUGGGGAAGUUUUGGACAAUGGGCGCAAGCCUGAUCCAGCCAUGCCGCGUGAGUGAAGAAGGCCUCGG
rnacentral:rRNA from 1 species